AUUGAACGCUGGCGGCAGGCUUAACACAUGCAAGUCGAGCGGGGUGAUGGUGCUUGCACUAUCACUUAGCGGCGGACGGGUGAGUAAUGCUUAGGAAUCUGCCUAUUAGUGGGGGACAACAUCUCGAAAGGGAUGCUAAUACCGCAUACGUCCUACGGGAGAAAGCAGGGGAUCACUUGUGACCUUGCGCUAAUAGAUGAGCCUAAGUCGGAUUAGCUAGUUGAUGGGGUAAAGGCCUACCAAGGCGACGAUCUGUAGCGGGUCUGAGAGGAUGAUCCGCCACACUGGGACUGAGACACGGCCCAGACUCCUACGGGAGGCAGCAGUGGGAAUAUUGGACAAUGGGGGGAACCCUGAUCCAGCCAUGCCGCGUGUGUGAAGAAGGCCUUAUGGUUGUAAAGCACUUUAAGCGAGGAGGAGGCUCUUUUGGUUAAUACCCAAGAUGAGUGGACGUUACUCGCAGAAUAAGCACCGGCUAACUCUGUGCCAGCAGCCGCAGUAA
rnacentral:rRNA from 1 species